rfam:Halobacillus mangrovi strain KTB 131, complete genome.
GGUUUAAUGUAGGGGGACCAGUGUAGCUGGUUGAGAUUGUAUCCUUUUUGAUACUGACCCUUAGAACCUGAUCUGGUUUAUACCAGCGUAGGGAACAUCUGAAACGACUCA